rnacentral:rRNA from 1 species
AGCAGCCGCGGUAAUUCCAGCUCCAAUAGCGUAUAUUAAAGUUGUUGCAGUUAAAAAGCUCGUAGUUGAAUUUCGAGAUCAAAUUGUUGGUCGUGCCUUGGUACGCACUGGCAUUAUUGGUUUCUCCCUUCUGACGAACCAUGAUGUCAUUAAUUUGGUGUCUUGGGGAAUCAGGACUGUUACUUUGAAAAAUUAGAGUGUUUAAAGCAGGCUCACGCUUGAAUACAUUAGCAUGGAAUAAUGAAAUAGGACGUUUGAUUCUAUUUUGUUGGUUUCUAGGAUCGACGUAAUGAUUAAUAGGGAUAGUUGGGGGCAUUAGUAUUCAAUUGUCAGAGGUGAAAUUCUUGGAUUUAUUGAAGACUAACUACUGCGAAAGCAUUUGCCAAGGAUGUUUUCAUUAAUCAAGAACGAAAGUUAGGGGAUCGAAGACGAUCAGAUACCGUCGUAGUCUUAAC